UACGUAGGGUGCAAACGUUGCUCGGAAUCAUUGGGCGUAAAGCGCACGUAGGCGGCCUGUUAAGUCGGAUGUGAAAUCCCUCGGCUCAACCGAGGACGUGCAUUCGAAACUGGCAAGCUCGAGUAUGGAAGAGGGCCGCGGAAUUCCCGGUGUAGAGGUGAAAUUCGUAGAUAUCGGGAGGAACACCAGUGGCGAAGGCGGCGACCUGGGCCAAUACUGACGCUGAGGUGCGAAAGCGUGGGGAGCAAACAGG
rnacentral:rRNA from 1 species